GACGAACGCUGGCGGCGUGCCUAAUACAUGCAAGUAGAACGCUGAAGCUUGGUGCUUGCACCGAGCGGAAGAGUUGCGAACGGGUGAGUAACGCGUAGGUAACCUGCCUGGUAGCGGGGGAUAACUAUUGGAAACGAUAGCUAAUACCGCAUGAUAUUGAUUAUUGCAUGAUAGUCAAUUAAAAGGUGCAAUUGCAUCACUACCAGAUGGACCUGCGUUGUAUUAGCUAGUUGGUGAGGUAACGGCUCACCAAGGCAACGAUACAUAGCCGACCUGAGAGGGUGAUCGGCCACACUGGGACUGAGACACGGCCCAGACUCCUACGGGAGGCAGCAGUAGGGAAUCUUCGGCAAUGGACGGAAGUCUGACCGAGCAACGCCGCGUGAGUGAAGAAGGUUUUCGGAUCGUAAAGCUCUGUUGUAAGAGAAGAACGAGUGUGAGAGUGGAAAGUUUACACUGUGAC
rnacentral:rRNA from 1 species